rnacentral:rRNA from 1 species
UACGUAGGGUGCAAGCGUUGUCCGGAAUUAUUGGGCGUAAAGAGCUCGUAGGCGGUCUGUCGCGUCGGAUGUGAAAAUCCAGGGCUCAACCCCGGACUUGCAGUGGGUACGGGCAGACUAGAGUGUGGUAGGGGAGACUGGAAUUCCUGGUGUAGCGGUGAAAUGCGCAGAUAUCAGGAGGAACACCGAUGGCGAAGGCAGGUCUCUGGGCCACUACUGACGCUGAGGAGCGAAAGCGUGGGGAGCGAACAGG